CCAUACUACCAACUACUAUGAAAAUUUCAGCGUCAGUGUAGCCGUUGGUAGCUGUUGGUAGCCGUCGGUACUCGUCGUAAUUCAAAGUUUAAACUCUGGUAGAAUGAAACAUUUGGAAUCGCAGAAGUCAACGUAGUCGUCGUGAUUUUUGUUAAUUUCAAAGAAUUGUAGUGUUUUCCAGUGGUGGUAUUAUGGCACUCCGAAAGUGCAAAGUGAAAGGAUGUUCCUCAGAGAAAGCAGCUUCGGGAAUUUCCCGACGUCGUGAAAGAUAGGGAACGCUGCCUUAAGUGGUUAGCAACAUGUGACAAUCCGAAGCUGAAGAAUCUGCGAUGUUCACUUUGAAGCUUGCAUAAAUUAAAUGUUUACCUAAGUAGAACAGCACUGCUAACAUUUUAUUUGCCAAAACCUGUAGCUGUUCAAGCUUCGAUUCCUGAAGUAAUCUAAGCAAUGGAUACAAUGGGAAUUGUAACCUCGCAGACAUAUUCUGAAUGUUACACAUGGGCACAGUAGUAGGACAACCAAAAUCAGAAAGACAAUUGCUCAACCUUCUACCUCUGGAGUGUCGCAGAAAAAAAAGGUACUAUUAUAGAACAUAUGGCAAUGUAUAAUGGAUAGAUUUUAAAGGCUGUAGCUGGAUAAGAGGGGAUAAUUCCUAUGUUCCUAUAAGUCUUACUUGUAAUUUGGCCAAGUAUUGGUCUUCAAUAUUAAACUAUUUCAAUUUAAAGAGCAGAAUUAAAACUGAAAAUUAUUUAUAAUUUUUUAUUGGUUCAAUCAAUUUCGUACAGUAAAAUAUAUAUUGGUUCAAUAAAAUUGGGGAAUGAAUCGAAUGAUAAAAAUAUUGACAAAAGGAAUUCAUAUUUAAACAUUUAUAUACUUCUGGUAUAAUUACCAUAGUUUUUGUGUAAAAUCUUUGAAUGCUACUUCAUAACAUACACUUUUGUUUAAAUCUGUGCAAUCGAUAGAAGGAACUUGAACAAAAACAAGAUAUAUACUAAAUUUAUUUAAAUGGAACUUUAUAUUUUUUCAUUCAUAAUAAGAUAAAUAAUAUAUAUAUAAUAAGAUAAAUAUAUAUAAAUAUAUUUAUUUAGUAUAUUUUCUUUUAAUGUUUUUGUCAUCUUCCCCAUUGUUAAAUUAUUAUUAUUAUUAUUAUUAUUAUUAUUAUUAUUGUAAAUGAUGUUGCAAAACUAGAACUGAAAAAAUAACCAAGCAAAUGACAAUGCUCUGGAAAAUUAAAAUGUAUUGAAUAAGUAACAUAAUAUUGUGGCGUCAAUGUACAAUCGUACAAAAUUAACAUUCGUGUAGACUCUUCUCUUCCCAAUUUCUUUCCCUAUUCACGACAUCUGAUCUAUUCUUUCAGUAUCUUGUUUAGCAUUGGUCUAUUCUUUCAGUUUCUUGUUUAGCACUGGUCUAUUCUUUCAGUAUCUUGUUUAGCACUGGUCUAUUCGGUUCUAGUUUGUCUCCAAACAUAUUUGCCAACCAGAUGCGGAUGGGCCUCAACUCUCUUAUCUCCCACAUUCAUUUUCUCUUAACUUUCCGCUAAAUUUUCCCUCGUCACUAAGUCUAUGUCUAUCCUACUCUAUCUAUUCCUCUAUCUUCAUGUCCACCGAACAACACAUGCGUUAAUAAAUAAAUUAUUUGCUCUGUCAAUACAAAUGUAAAGACCACAUGCGUAAAAAUUGAUACAUUAUGGUUUUUGUGUAUGCUUGUGUAUGUCGUAUGUAUGCUUCUACAAGCAGAAACUUUGAACUGACCUAUCAUAUCAGGUAUAAAAGAUAAUCUUCUGAAAUUUUUAGCCUCCGGUGCAGAUAGAGAGGCCAUGAGGGUUACAUAAUGAUGAAUACUCAAACGGUUGUACCACUGUUUGAUUCGCCUCAUUUUUUAAAAUGCUUACGAAGGAUCUUGUUUAUUCCAUAGACGUAAAUAAAAUUGCAAAAUGGUCCCAUAUCCAUACCCUUUUAAAUGUUUAAGAAAGCUGACGUAAGAACAUGUAGUUCCAAGCAAAAUUAAAAAAAUUAGCGUGAGCCAUUGUGCAAGGCCUUUUCUAAGUCGUUGUCCAGUACCACGUAUCUUAUGAACGUUUUCGAGUCACAAAGCGCAUGUAAAAGCUGGAAGCUAACAACUACUGCAAAAGAUACCGCUGUUUUUAUCGGAAAUUAAUUAUUUAUUUGAUACAGUAAAUAAUAGGACCAUUUCGGAUCGAAAAAAUAAUAUUCCAAUUUGGAAUAAAUUUAUUAAAUUAUUUAAUAGUAUGCACUUUAUCAAACGCAUAGCAGGAGAUUUAGUAAAUCGGGUAUGUACCCUCGAAGGUUUCAAAAUUUGAAUGGACUAUUUAGAGGACCUUCAUCUUAAUGGAAUUAUUUAAUAGUAUGCACUUUAUCAAACGCAUAGCAGGAGAUUUAGUAAAUCGAGUAUGUACCCUCGAAGAUUUCAAAAUUUGAAUGGACUAUUUAGAGGACCUUCAUCGUAAUGGAUUCCGUGAAAGGGAUCUUAACCAAGAUCCUUUGGAAAAUUUUUUUUGUGACGUUCGCAUAUCAACGAUCCAAACCAUGGAUAUAUUUUUUCCUUAUAAUGAGCCGAAGAUAGAUUUAGUAUUUGUAUAUUCGAACGUCACCCUAUACCUUAGACUGAGAUGCGCUUAGUAAUAUCACGUAUAUGCAAACCGAACACCGAACCGAAGGAGGUGUAGCGUGCGAGCGUUGUGUCAUUUCUUUGUAACAAACUUCGAGGUACGACGUUCCGUUCUUUGUAAAUUGAUUGUAAACAAAUGUCAUGAUUACGAUUUCGGGAAAGGCUGACAAGUGUUUGCUCCAUUUUUUAGUUUGACGGAGAAAUGAGAAAGAAGCGUGUCAGUUUCUAAUGUGAAUAUAAUAACGUGGAAGGUGCCAUACUCUGUUUUGUAAUUAACAAGCCAAGUGAUUUAUCGAGAAAGUUUUGCGAUAAUUUUUUUCCUUUUCAAUAAUCUUUCUUCACCUUUCCAUCACUUUUUUCUCCUCUUCAUAUAAAACCCUUUUUUAAUCGAGAACGAAACAGAUCUGGAACGACGAUUUGUAAAGAACAUAAGUUUGUUUAUUGGAUAUCAAGUUUUACAAAUAUUAUCACACACUUGUUAUGAAUGUUUCAUUGGAGAUGGCUGCCUUAUGCGUAUCGUACAAAUAUAAUAAUUAUAUUUUAUAAUGGCUGUGUAUAUUUAUAUAUGUCUAUAAAUACUUAAUUAUCUUAUAAAGUGGCGGUGUUCUAUUUACAUACUUCAGUGGCCUGUAGCUUUUUUUUUAGUCUUGAUUAUCGUCGAACUUUGAUAUUAACCCUAACAAAUUCACAAAUCGACGAAUAAAGAAAAAAACGAUGACAGACGAUGAGAAAAAUGGUAUUAGAAUAGUAAUGAGAAAAUGGUAUGAGAAUGACGGUAAUGACGAUGAUGAUUGCAAUGAUUUCGAUAGAAAUGAUGAAAAGCAACCAGCAUCUACAUCUCGUUAACAUUCGUUUAUCCUUAAUAUUCCGUGCGUACAUAAAAAUCAAUAAAUAAUAAUGAUAUACAUAAAUAUAUACUAUAUAUACUAUUUAUAUAUAACUAUCCUACUAUACUUUUGUGGUAAAAUAUUUCCGCGAGACCGUCUCGUAGGCCCGUUUCUUUUAAUUACAAAGAGCUAAUCACCCUUUGAACAGCACGAUAGUUACAAAUCUGAUGGAUAUAUUACAUAUGUAUAUUUAUACUUAAUGUACAAGCUGUUCUUUCCUUUAUCGGUAUAGCUCACGCAUACUCCCGUAUUUUCGUUAGUGCCAAUCAUAAAAGUUUAUAAAAUACUUCAGACUUUGAAGCAAGUAAAAAAUAUUCGAAACUACUUAGAAUAUUUUCGUAUCGUCGUUAAGCAUAUAGCCGCUUUGCUUAUAAAUCCAUGUAUUUAAACAAAAUGUGAUCGAAGAAUGAACGUUAUUCUCGUUAUAGUUGAAUAUACGUGUACGAAUGAUUUAAUACUACUCGCGUUACCUUAAGUGAGCUAAGCCGACGACAAAAGAACUUGUUCGCUUUCGUGUUGCUCCAAAUGGGUGGUAUUUCCCGUGUAGCAGAAAAUAUUCGAGUAAUAUGCGAUACUCUAGACGUUGAGUGGACAAUUCCUGUACGAGUAUCACAUAUUGCUUUGUACUGUAUCCGUGUUAGAUUUUUUGCCACAACGGAAACUGUCGUUGGUUCGUUGUCCUUUAAUAGAACUUUUGUACAAUAUAUUCAACGUUAGGAAAAUACGAAAGUGCUUAAAAAGGUGGUAUAGUACGGAAUACUACAAGCGCCGUUGCUCUCGAUCGCGUUUCUCGUUAUAUUACGCAUUAAUUGUUUAAUUAUCCUGCAUUUCGGAGUCUCCCUUUCAUUAAUACUAAAGAGACCGUUAUCGCAGUAAAACGUAUACAAAAUUUAUACGUAGCAAAUUCCUAGCAGUGGAAGGAUGUAUAUUUAUAUCUCGACGGAUAUGGUAAAAAAUUGUUACUUAAUUUCACUGUAAAUACGCGUAUCAAUCUGAUAUCGAGUGAUAGAAAAAUUCGAUCCAUUGCUCUUUGCACAAUACGUCCAGUCGUUUGCGAGUGUCUUUAAACGAAACAACGUAUAUACCUUACAAGUAACAAUUUGUAAAUAUCAGUUAAAAAAUAUUUCGUAUAAAAAAUGACUCUUGAAUUGAAUUUAUUCUAAUAAUUAGACCGCUACGUACGUAGGCUUAACCGGGCGUUUAAAACGUAAUUGUUAAGAUAAAUUAACUAUCGAAACAGUAAAUACAUAUUAUUACUCGACGAGAAAAUUACUAUCGUCCUUUUUGCAAAGAUCGAAUCGCGGUUUCUUUCGUAAUGCUGUACAGCUUAUCGUAAUAUCCACACUCGAUGUUCACGUUCAAUUUUAAAAUAAUGUUUCUUGAUGAGAUCGUAAUACUACAUUGUUGGUUUAAGAGUAUAGACGUAUAUUUUCCCGUAAAUCAACGGAAUUCCUUAGCAAGCUGCCGAAGCCACUGAGUAUAGGGCAAUUUAAUACAUACAUUUUAAGGCCGUUACACAGCGUUCAAAAAAUAUUAAGGUCUUGACAACGUGGCGAAUUUCAGCCUGAUAAAUAAAAUUCAUAGAAUCACAGGCAACUCGUUCGGUACAAUUUACAAAUGUCCGGUUGUAGUGGAUAAAACUCCUUAACGAUCUGUUGCCUUUUAAAUUGAUUAAUACUAAUUAACUAGCUUGAAAGUACUGAACUGUACAAAGCCUGUUAUCAAAAUUGUUAUAAAAAAAAAAAUUAUGACAGAUAAAAAAAUAGAAAGAAUAUUUCUACUUCCCACGUUACACACUGAACCAUAAAUUGUUCGAUUAAGAGACUCACGUAAUCUCGCCAUCCCUAGCGUAAGUAUGGCAGUUGAUAGUAUCGAUAUAGAAAAUGUACUCUUACGAGUAUAGAUUAUAUAAUCAUGGCAGAACACGUGAGUUUUUGGAUAUAGUACGAAUCGUUUGGGCAAGAUCUUCAUUUUCACCGAAGCAUACAAAAGGCAAUCAUUAUGGUUACCAAUAAUUUUUAAGACUUGAGAAACGUUAAAACCGUUUCUCUUCGUUACGAAUCCAUGAAAUCGUUAAUUUAAAACAUAUUCUAAUUUGCCAAAAUGGAUCCUAGAUAAGAUUCCAACUUAUUGGUAUCCUUUCGGUUUGAUCGACUUUGCACACGCUGUGUGCAAUCGCACUUAAGAAUACACUAUCAAACGCUCGUAAUAGAACGUCCAAUUCAUGCGUAUUUUAACACUUUCCAGACGUAUGACCACCACGAACUUGCAGAAUGCAAGGUUACUAUAAAAAUGUGGCAGUAUCAAAUUACAUUGGCAAGUAUACUUUGUGUUUCGUCGUAAAAAAAAAGGCAACGUUAGUACCGGAGGAAAAAGCAAAUUGACUAGGAAACACUCGAUCUAGUCCAAUGACACUGGGAUGAUAAUUUUGAGGCAAACUGUUUAGGAUGUUCGAUUUUAACGCCGUUCAUCGGCUCCUCGAAUAUCCAUUGCCAAUUGCAUUGUAUUUCCGUACGCCUAAACAUGAUCUUCGCGAAGAGUUUCAUCGUGUAAUGUCAUCGUCAUACCUGUCUCUCAGAUACUAACAUUGAGAAUGUAUCAUUGCAGUCUAUCGAAUUGAGAUGGCACAA